GUGGGGAAUCUUAGACAAUGGGGGAAACCCUGAUCUAGCCAUGCCGCGUGAGCGAUGAAGGCCUUAGGGUUGUAAAGCUCUCUCAGCUGGGAAGAUAAUGACGGUACCAGCAGAAGAAGCCCCGGCUAACUCCGUGCCAGCAGCCGCGGUAAUACGGAGGGGGCUAGCGUUGUUCGGAAUUACUGGGCGUAAAGCGCGCGUAGGCGGACCAGAAAGUUGGAGGUGAAAUCCCAGGGCUCAACCUUGGAACUGCCUUCAAAACUCCUGGUCUGGAGUUCGAGAGAGGUGAGUGGAAUUCCGAGUGUAGAGGUGAAAUUCGUAGAUAUUCGGAGGAACACCAGUGGCGAAGGCGGCUCACUGGCUCGAUACUGACGCUGAGGUGCGAAAGCGUGGGGAGCAAACAGGAUUAGAAACCCUGGUAGUCC
rnacentral:rRNA from 1 species